ACGGGACCCGCACAAGCGGUGGAUGAUGUGGAUUAAUUCGAUGCAACGCGAAAACCUUACCUACCCUUGACAUGUCCGGAAUCCUGCAGAGAUGCGGGAGUGCUCGAAAGGGAAUCGGAACACAGGUGCUGCAUGGCUGUCGUCAGCUCGUGUCGUGAGAUGUUGGGUUAAGUCCCGCAACGAGCGCAACCCUUAUCAUUAGUUGCUACGCAAGGGCACUCUAAUGAGACUGCCGGUGACAAACCGGAGGAAGGUGGGGAUGACGUCAAGUCCUCAUGGCCCUUAUGGGUAGGGCUUCACACGUCAUACAAUGGUCGGUACAGAGGGUUGCCAAGCCGCGAGGUGGAGCCAAUCCCAGAAAGCCGAUCGUAGUCCGGAUUGUUCUCUGCAACUCGAGAGCAUGAAGUCGGAAUCGCUAGUAAUCGCGGAUCAGCAUGUCGCGGUGAAUACGUUCCCGGGUCUU
rnacentral:rRNA from 1 species